rnacentral:rRNA from 1 species
UGGAUUGAGAACAAUGUACAACUCUUAUCGAUAAGCCAUUGGAGGGCAAGUCUGGUGCCAGCAGCCGCGGUAAUUCCAGCUCCAAUAGCGUAUAUUAACGUUGUUGCAGUUAAAAAGCUCGUAGUUGAAGUGUGGGUGAUCGCUGUUGUGAGACUUCGGUCUCUCGACAGUAAGUCACCCCCUUCCAGUAUCCAGUAGUGGGUAUUCAGUUACUUACUAUUGUGUGUUGGUCAUUUACUGUGAGAAAAUUAGAGUGUUCAAAGCAGGCGUUUGCUUGAAUAGAUUAGCAUGGAAUAAUAAUUGAAGGCUUUCGUGUUCGAUUUGAUUGGUUUGUUCAUGGAAGCAAGGUUAAAAGGAACAGUUGGGGGUAUUCAUAUUCACUAGUUAGAGGUGAAAUUCUCGGAUUUAUGGAA